AUUGACGAGUCCUAAAUAGGACGAAACGCGCGUCCUGGAU
rfam:Schistosoma haematobium scaffold1166_8, whole genome shotgun sequence.